CUAUGAACAGAUGUAUGAGGCCGGGUGGCAGCUGGUCUUGCGCAUGCGCAGAGAUGUUUCAAUUUGUCUCCUCGUUCAUAAGCUGAAAGGAGUGAUGGUCAAGUCCAAGGAUGCAAGUUCCAAUCACCCAUCAUGGACAGUGGCAAGGAUGAAGAUAAGACAAUGUGAGAAAAAACAGGAAGAGAAGAUGAUGCAUUUGAGGAUCUGAUGUCUUGCUUGUAUUUAUGUAUUGCGUGGACACACUGGAAUUUCUAUUGGAACAGCACACUUAGAUUCACAUGAUGCAGAUCAGUGAAAAGGGAGAAAGUUAGUUAAUUUGGUUCUAAAUAAUGAAAAUUAACAAUGUUGCUCAUACUGAUGUGUAAAAAUAAAAUUAACAUAUGGCAAUUGUAUUUGUCAUAA